rnacentral:lncRNA from 1 species
ACAACAAGUUUGAUUUGUCUGGAAUACAGAUCAUGGUGAUACCUUCAAAUUUACGAGAUAAGAGAACAUCUAUAAAUAAAAUUAUUUGCUGCCUUAUUUUAUUGCAUUGCAAUAAUCUUAGAGUAUAAAAUCAUAACUUAAGGUCCUUGAAAAUAGGGGGUAAAUACAAUUAUUUGGUGCUUAGACAACUUAGACAAAUACCAAAUGACAGCACCUCGAAUAUUCUAGCAUACAAUAUAUUGUACAAUUCUUUUGCUAGAGCAAGAACUUGUUCAUCUCAAUCUGCCACUUAUACACAAGCCUUUCAGACAUCUAGAUUUAUAAUUUUUCACUUCUGGACAAUCUUUCACUGUUGUACAAGGAUGAGAAAUAGGUAUAUAACUAGAAUCACAUACUAUUACGACAAAAAGUAUGGAAAUAAAUAGAAUCAGAACAUAAACAAAC